UAUAGAUGGGGUCUUCUUAUGUUGCCCAGGUUGGUCUCAAAUUGCUAGGCUCAAGUGAUUCCACCCACCUCUGCCUCCCACAGUGCUGGGAUUACGGGCAUGAGCCAGCGCAUCUGGCCACCUUAUUUUCAAUUACUGGCUCAAUGUAAUGGCUCCAUCUCAGGAACAGCCAAUGAAAGAGAUGCACAGGACAAGAGAUGGGACCUCAGUAUGUUGCCACGGCUGACCUUGAACUCCUGCACUCAAGGGAUUUUCCUACCCUGGCCUCCCAAAGUAUUGGUAUUACAGGCAUGAGCCAUUGUGCCCACCGUCUCUGGUUCUUAACCUUCUGCCUCCCUCUUCCAGUUUUAAAGAAUGCUUGUAAUUACAUGGGCUCUCCUAGAUACUCCAGGAUAAUCUUGUUUUAAGGUCAGCUGAUGAGCAACAUUAAUUUUAUCUGCACUAUUAAUUCCCCCUUCCUAUGUAAUUGUGCUGUGUAACAUAGGACAUGAGCAAUUGGUGGCGGUGGGGGUUAUUACUUUGGCCACCACAGUAACUAUUUUAUGCCAGGUACUCAGCUAAGCACUGGUGAAUUAAGCAUGAAUAACACACACUCCCUAAUCUCCAUCCAUUCAUGGGAGGAGCACUUCACCUGCCAUGCUCCUGAGAAUCUCGGGAGUCAGAGAAGUCUUCUAUGAGGAGGUGAUGCCAAAGCGGACAAGUGACAGAGGAGUCAAAGCUAGCUAGGAAGGGAGUAGAGGUUUAAGGGGAAGCAUAUUAUAAGCAGAGGAUAUUACCCACUUCAGAGACUCCCAGAGGAGAAAGAGUGUGCGUUCAAGAGGCAGAUGAGGCUCAGUUGGACUCCAUAGCAGAUGAAAUGGAGAGGGGCAAGCAGUGAGGCUGCCUUGCAAGGCAGGGCAGAGCAGGGGCUGUUAAGGAGUUUGGACUUAAUCCCUGAGGCAAGGAGAAGUGAUGUAAAUGGAGGAGUAACAUGAUGAGAUUCAUGGAUUAGAGACAUGGCUCAGGCUGCUGUAGAGAAGGCACCAGGGAGAGCAGAUGGCUCAAUGGGUGUGCAGGAGACCUCUCCCUGAGUUUAGGGAGAGGUUUUUAAAACAGAAGAAGUUUGAGUAAUUUAAAUGAUGAUGGGAAG
rnacentral:lncRNA from 10 species